AGGCUGAAAUUACGCCUGCAUGAAGCCGGAAUUGCUAGUAAUGGCAGGUCAGCAUACUGCCGUGAAUACGUUCCCGGGCCUUGUACACACCGCCCGUCACACCAUGAGAGUUGGGGAUACCCGAAGCCUGUGAGCCAACAGUUAAAUGAGGCAGCAGUCGAAGGUAGAAUCAAUGAUUGGGGUGAAGUCGUAACAAGGUAUC
rnacentral:rRNA from 1 species